rnacentral:rRNA from 1 species
ACCAGCAGCCAUAUCACCCUGCACCUCACAGCUGGCAGCCCCCUGGAGCUCAGCAGGUGUGAGCCUGCUCAGUACCUGGAUGGGAGACUCCUGGGAAAAACUAAGGUUGCUGCUGGAA